rnacentral:tRNA from 1 species
GGUGGCGUAGCUCAGUUGGAUAGAGCAACAGCCUUCUAAGCUGUAGGUCGUAGGUUCGAGUCCUACCGCCAUCA